ensembl:lncRNA
CUUAAUUAUCAACAGUUUUAAUUUGACUCAAAAAAUGAACUGUACUGUAGAGAAAAUGGGUGAAAAAUCUAAAGUCAUGAUGACUUCUGAAUAUUAAAUAGACAGUUUGGUUUGUAACAGCGUUUCAUAGACAUACAAAUAUAUUCACAUGAUUAUAAGUGGCCCCCAUUAUCAGGUAGUGCAUUUUCAUUCAAGCUUCCUUGAAGGAUGGAACUGCUUUUCAUAUAGCACAACAUGGUACUAAUUACAGGUUGAUACCUGUACGGUAUCUACUUAUACAACAUGGUACUAAUUACAGGUUGAUACCUGUACGGUAUCUACUUAUACAACAUGGUACUAAUUACAGGUUGAUACCUGUACGGUAUCUACUUAUACAACAUGGUACUAACUACAGGUCGAUGCCUGUACUAUAUCUACUUAUACAACAUGGUACUAACUACAGGUCGAUGCCUGUACUAUAUCUACUUAUACAACAUGGUACUAACUACAGGUCGAUGCCUGUACUAUAUCUACUUAUACAACAUGGUACUAACUACAGGUCGAUGCCUGUACUAUAUCUACUUAUACAACAUGGUACUAACUACAGGUCGAUGCCUGUACUAUAUCUACUUAUACAACAUGGUACUAACUACAGGUCGAUGCCUGUACUAUAUCUACUUAUACAACAUGGUACUAACUACAGGUCGAUGCCUGUACUAUAUCUACUUAUACAGAUCUACGCUGUUUGAAGUCUGCAGUCAUUGAACAUCAUACCAAGUCACAUUGCACCAGGAGUGUCAAACUCAUUCCACAGAGGGCUGUGUGUCUGUAGGUUUUUGUUUUGUCCGUUCAAUUAAGACCUAGACAACCAGUUGAGGGGAGUCCCUCACUAAGUCGUGACCUUAAUUCAUCCAUCGAGUACAAGGGUGGAGUGAACCUGCAGACACUCGGCCCUCCGUGGAAUGAGUUUGACACGUAGUGUACAGCAUUAUUUCCUGUCUGGGACAUCUCUGAAGAAAACUCAUGUACACGUCCUUCCUGCUGUACGUUUCUAAACAGGUGUGUAACUACAGCCCUACAGCCAUGGGUUCACCUGUAGAAACAGACAAGAUGUUGGGGUGUCUGAUGAUAGAUGCAGUCUGUGCCAUGUGGUGUUAGGUGUUUUGACAGUUCAGACACACACUGGGCAACGCUCAUCUAUACCGGCUGUGCGUUCUUUAUGGGGGGUGGUGGGGCACGAUUUAGAAGAGAGGGAAGGCAUCUGUUUUUAUUGCUGGGGGGGGGCGGAGCAGUCUCUGUGCAGGUCGUUGCCAUGGGGAUGGGCACGAAGUGGACUGUUUCUGUGGUUCUCUGGUUGUUACAGAUACUGUAUCCAUUGACUGACAUCAUGGCGGCGAGGGGCGGGCUCAGUCCUCGAGUUCCUCGUCCUUUAUCUGUUUACGAGUGAAGAACCCCAGCUGGA